rnacentral:lncRNA from 1 species
GUAGGACAAUUAAAGCGGAAAGCUAAGGUUAGAAAAGUAGUCACAAGCAGCAUCAGGAAAAUUCCCCGAUAGACAUAUCAUAGCUUUUCUUCGUAACUAACUUAUUUUGUUGUCUACAUCAGUAAGGAUAACCAUCCACAGUCCAUGAAUGGUAGAAUUGCUUGCUCUCAUUCAUGAUGGGGUUGUGUGGGUUGAUCUAUAUUAUCUUCUCGCUGGACAUAUAUCUGCGUAUGCUAGAACCAUUUAGAGCUUUAGCCUUCAAAAGUCUCCCCAUGUAGGAGUAAUAAAACACCACCGAGAUCCAUGACAUGAUUAAAAACAACGACCUUGUCUUCACGCACACCCUUAAUAACCCCCCUGCAAACCUUUUUACUUAUGCUUCAAUAUCAUCUAACCAUGAAGAGAACCCUAUAGCCCUUCUCCAUCCCAACUAAUUUAGGUGUUUUAGCUAUAUGCGGAUAAAAAAAGUCAAACAUAGUCAUAAAAUCUAGGCAAUUAACACCUGCAAUUUCAAGACAUAGACAAUUGAGUUGGCUUGAAUUAAGGUUGAACUAUGGUAAAACAUGAUUGAAUUAAAUAAUUACGUUUUUGUCAAUAAAAUUCAAGUAGCAAAAUAAAAUAACGAAUGAAGAACUCCUUAGAAUAACUUAAGGUACCACAAAAACCUGUAGCACAACUUUUGAAGUUAUUGCUUAGAAGUUUCUGGAAUACCAGAGACUUCAAUGUUAAGUCAAUUUCUAUCAUAACAUAAUAUUUUACAUGUGAUUUCAUAUUUGAUGUUGGUCAUUUUUUAUCUGUAACAUAUUGCGUACAUGUGAAAUCACAUAAUCACCCGUUCAAAAUAUAUAAUGCUCCGCACAAAUUUGAUGCUAAGUUAAUUACUCUAGCUUCAAGUAUAGCUCUUUUAGUAAAGAAAUUUCACCUAUUUAUGACAUUUUUUUUCUUGCUCUCAUAAAUACCAUAAUUCCUUCAUAUUUUGGUAGUGAAAGUCAAGGGAUGCUGAUAAAGCCCUUUACGUAGUAGAAACUAAAUAAAAGGAGAGCUUCUAGUGAAUCACCAUCAACGUCAGGCCUCUAACGCUUGAUGAAUUAACCUAAGUUAUUAUAGGACAAUCCAAAUAAUGUGACAUAAAAAAAAAUUCCGCACUAUGAUAGUAAAUUGAUUUGAGCAAGUCACUUAAUUGAUUGACACUUUUAAACUUGGUAACCUACUCCACACAUUCACAACUAUCUUUGCAACAAGUUUUUUUGGUAAAGCUCUGCAAGACUAUGCUGCAAAAUCCGAUGAUAAAGCAUUCCACAUACCAUCAGUGCCUAUUAUAAGCCUUCCCCAGCAUCAGCAUCAGCAUCAGCAUCUGAAUUGCUACUAAAAGAAAGAAAGAAAUAUCUCGUUCAGGAAGCUGGUACCAGCAAGCCCAUCCUAUUCCAAGCUCCAUUCAUCUCUUCUUCUAUGGUUCAGAUUCAUUCUCUUUAAGUUGUUUUUCAAUUUCUACAGUUGAUUAAUUCAUUCAAAAGCAUCAACUACUAACAGUAUCUACAGAGAUGAUGAGUAAACCAAGUAUAUCACAAAAGAGCCUUUUUUUAAUAAGAUGCACGAAGAGAAUCUAUCCUAAUUAAUAAAUAUUAACAAGAGAUAACUUGAAGCUCCUAACACCAUGUAAUUAGAGUCAUCGUCAGUUUCUUCUUUUGAGAUCUAGGUAUUUAAUCCGUAGUGAUAUGAAGAUUAAAUUCUGAAAUAAAAGCAAAAAAAUAUUUACUAAUUUUUUAGAAGUAAAUACGCUACCUUUUGGUUUAAUGAAUGAUAGUUGUGUAUAUUGCAGAAUACCUAUGGUAACAGAAAAGGAUAAAAAAAAUUCACUUGUUUCAGUCAUAUCAUCAAAUGCCUUGACUGCACUAAAAAUCUUUUAUGUUCUAUUACUAUUGUCGGACAAUAAUCACAUUCACGUAUGGAAUACACAAAAAAGAUGAAAAACUCAAUAAGCAGAAAGAUUCCAAUAUGAGUAAUCUCAGAGAAAAUAGAAUCACAAUUCUACUACUAAGUUCAUCCUCAAAGAACCCAUUUACUCUCAAAACAAUAUUAUACAACUAACACCAGAAAUAACAGUAUAUCACAAAUAUGCAUUUAUGUAGCUAUUUUCAAACAUCAAAUAAGAUACAACUACUGAAUGUAGGUAAUGUGCCGAGGGUAAACUAGUAAAAGAAGAGUUUAAAAGUUGUUAGCGACGUGGACGGAUCAGAUUAAUUUCAACCAAGGGCUGAUAUCAAAUCCAUUAGAAUAUAUGAGACUAUCUCAGUGCAGGAGGGGUUUCAACGAAUUUGGCAUGUCUCCUCUCUCUAUUUUGUGCUCUCUCUCUAUAUAUAUAUCUCUCUGUACUUCCUAUCUCCUCUAAAUAUGAACCUUUCUUCUCUCAUAAAUUCUUCUUUUCUCUAUCAAAUUCUGAAGCAAUCCACUUUAAUAUAACAAUAGCCAAUUUCUUAUUACCUAUGCUAAGAGCUGCCUAUUGAACUCUAUUUCAGGUAUUUUUCUGGUUAUUCAAUUGAUUUCUCGGAGUUGAAUCAAGUCGAGUGUUGCUGAUUAAUCCUAGUUUAUGUUUUAGAUUUUUGUUGAAAUCGAACUCGUAAACUCAAUUCCAGCUUAAUUGUAAUUGUCUGAGCACUUGUGGCAUUCCUGAAGCUUAUGAAUGAUAAUUGUGACUCUUGAGUUGCGGAGAUUUGUUUGAAAUUCCUAUUUUGUCUAUUUGUAAUUGUUGAGCACAUAACAAAUUGGUAUCAGAGCGACGAUUUUGAUUAUACAUGUGGGAAAAUGACUGGGGCUGAAGCUACUAGAUCGAAGCAGACCGAAGAACAAUAGAUGAAAAGGCUAGAUGGUCAGAUUCAAUCCAAUAAGUUAGAAACUGAUUCCAAGCUUAAUGCUAUAGAUUAAAAACUAGCUGAGAUGAGUUCUACUUGGCUGGGUAUGAAGCAGCUGAUGGAGGAAACACAUACGGCGCUAAUGAAGUUGAUUGAGAGGGGAAAUGGGAAAUCAUCAUUCGACGAAGAGGAGAGUAGUAAGGGUGAUGGGUUGUUACCUAAGCCUAGAGGUAUUGACUAUGGAGAAGGGAAUGCAAACAGAGCUGGGGACAAUUUCCCUCCUAAGCUGCAAUUUCGGAUAUAUAGUGGAGCUGAACCUAGAUCUUGGUUGAGGAGGUGUGAGAGGUAUUUUAGGGUCUAUAAGAUUACUGAUACAACAAAAAAGUUGGAGAUGACCACCUUGCACUUAGAAGGGGAAGUUGAGGCAUGGUAUUUCUCUUUCACUCUCACUAAAAGAUAAGUGAAGUGGGAAGAAUUAUGUGAAGAGCUAGUUUUAUGACGCUAAUGGUGACAGGAUGGUGAAUGACUUUAAAAUGCUGGUUCAGACUAGCACCGUGAAUGCCUAUUUGCAAAAAUUUGAGGACCUUAGAGCCUUAGUGCUAAUGAGAAACCCCAGGGUACCGGAAAAUUUUUGUUGGAAUGUUUCAUUGCGGGGCUUAAGGAGGAAAUUAGCGAGACAGUGAUGAUGCAUGAUCCCUAUUCUUUAUCUCAGGCUGUCUUUUGCCAGGAAACAAGAGAGGAUCAUUAAUACUAGGGAGAGGAAGAAUAAGUGGCUGCAUAAGGGCACUAUUGCUCCAGUUAACCAAGAAAUGAGCAGGACUAACUUCAAUCCAAGAAGACCCCCAGACAUGACUUUUUUUUUUUUUGAUGAAGUAAUAUAUUGUAUUAAAGGCAUCAAGAAGAUGCAAAAGAUUACAAUAGAGAGCUUAGCUAACUGGUUAGGACAAAAAACCUAUUCUAGAGCCUUAAGUUUACCAAGCGCAAAAAUCAGUGGUUACUAAACCAUUGAGAGAGAGCUAAUGACCCCCAGACAUGACUGUUAAACCAGAGGAAACAAGAUUUCAGGAAAAUUCCGGGAGCCUGUUGGAAAUGUGGUGACAGAUAUUACCCUGGCCAUAUUUGCAAAGAUAAACAACUCAAUACCAUGACGGCAGAGGUGGAAGAACAAGAAGGGGGAGGUCAAGAAGAGAUACAAGAAAUGGAAGAAGUUACUCAAGAAUUGGAGGAGGGGGAAGAGGAAGCAGUAUGCUUAAAUGCCAUGACAGGAACCCCUGAACCUAACACCUUUAAGCUUAGAGGACUGAUUAAGAAGAGAGUUGUAAUCAUAUUAGUAGACUCUGGCAGCACUCAUAGUUUCUUGGACAGUCAGACAGCCAAGGAACUAGGAGUGAUAGCACAGAUGGACCGACCAUUGAGAGUGACAGUUGCAAAUGGACAACAAAUGUAUAGUCACCAGAGUGUAACCAAGGUUAGAUGGGAGGCUAGUGGAAUUGAGUUUGAGGAUAAGUUCCGGUUGUUGAAUAUAGGCAGCUGUGAUAUAGGGUUGGGGGUGACUGGAUGAGGGCUCAUACUCCAAUUACUUUUGAUUAUGAACCUUACAUACUCAGAUUAAGACAAUUUUAAAAAAAUGGUGGAUCUGAAGGGUGAUACAGGGCAAGGAGAGAUGCACCAGAUCACAGCUAAGUCAAUGGGCAAGUUACUGAAGAAGGGAAAGGCCCUCCUAGCACAUUUGUUCACUAUGGAGGGUAAAGAAGAUGAGACCAACGAGGAGGUACCAGAAGAAGUACAGCAGGUUCUAGAGUCUUAUGCUUCUGUAUUUGAGGAAUCAAAAUCACUACCACCCUCAAGAGACUAUCACCAUGCCAUUCCCAUUGUUCCAGGGGCCAAGCUAGUUUCACUCAGUCCCUACAGGUCACUGGGGACCGGAGGCCGAAGAAGUUUUCAAUCAAUUGAAACGGGCUAUGAGCAACACUUCUGUACUGGCUAUGCCAGACUAUACUCAAAACCUUUGUCAUUGAGACUAAUGCUAGCUAUCUGGGAAUUGGAUCUGUGCUGACUCAAGAAAAUAAAACCAUCACAUACUAUAGCAAGGCCUUGGCUCCAAGGCACCUGGGCAAAUCAGUGUAUGAAAAGGAGCGCAUCCAUAGACAAGUGGAGGCAUUAUGUACAAGGAGGGCACUUUAUAAUUUCAUUUCAGUCUCAAAUACUUGAUGGAGCAGAAAGUAACCACAACCAUUCAACAGAAAGGCCUAACCCAGUUAUUGGGAUUUGACUAUGAAAUACAAUACAGGAAGGGGCUGAAAAUAGAGUGGCAGAUGCACUAUCCAGGGUCCUAGAUGAGCAAGGAGAGGUAAAUGCUUUCUGGUGUGCAAUCUGUGUGGCGGGAAGAGAUAGAGAGAAGUUAUCAAAAUGACAACCGAGCUCAAGAUUUUAUUACUGCUGUAACAGUCAACCCAACUGCACACCCGGACUAUAGCUUGGUUGCAGGAGUUUUUAAGUUCAAAGGAAAGGUGUAUGUUGGUAAAACCACGGCCUUAAGGCAACAAAUUCUAUAGACCAUGCAUUCCUCUGCUAUGGGAGGUCACUCUGGCCAAUAAGGCACCUUGAAGAGACUGCAGUUAUACUUUUAGAGGUGCAAGAGUUUGUAACUAGGUGUGAUAUAUGUCAGAGAUGCAAGGAUGAAACUGUGGCCAAUCCAGGAUUACUACAACCUUUGGAGAUCCCUACUCAAUCUUGGACGGACAUCAGCUUAGAUUUCAUAGAAGGUCUGCCAAAGUCCCAAAGAAAGGAUGUAAUAUUAGUAGUGGAUAGAUUCACUAAAUAUGCACACUUUCUGGCCUUACAACAUCCCAAUACAGCCGCUCAAGUGGCAGAGUUAUUCAUCAAAGAAAUAUAUAAGCUCCAUGGUCUUCCAAAUACCAUGGUCUUAGAUAGGGAGAAGGUUUUUACUAGUGUCUUCUGGCAACAUUUAUUCAAGGCAGCUGGAACUACACUAUGUAUGAGCACAGCCUAUCAUCUAGAGUCAGAUGGCAAGACAGAAAGACUUAACAUGUGCUUAGAAGUAUAUCCUAGAGCCAUGACUAUGAGCAAACCAAAAAUGUGGGCAAACUGGUUGCAUCUGGCUGAGUGGUGGUACAACACUAACUAUCAUACAUCCUUGCAAAGCACUCCAUUUCAAGCAUUUUACGAUUAUGACCCCCCAAAUGGGGCCACUACUGCAGACUCCAGUGCAAGCUGUCCAGGAUUUGAUUCAGGAGAGGAUUCAAUUCUAGUAGGUUCUUAAAGACCAUCUCACCCAAGCUCAAGCUAGGAUGAAAUUGUAUGCUGACCAAAGGAGAACUGAAAGACAAUUAAAAGUGGGGGAUUGGGUCUAUCUCAAAUUGCAAUCAGGAGGCAACUCAAAUUAUGUCCUAAGUAUUAUGGACCUUAUCUAGUGGAGCAGAAGAUAGGAACUGUGGCCUACAACAAGCUCAAGCUACCAAGUACUGCUAGGAUUCAUCCUGUCUUCCAUGUGUCACUACUAAAGAAGAGGAUUGGACCAAUGAUUAUUCCUCAGCAACAACUGCCAAUACUUGGGGAAGGACAUAUGCUAGUUAGGCCUAUAGCCAUCCUACAUAGGAGAAUGGUGAAGGAGAAUAAUGCAGUGGCAGUUAAGGUGCUAAUUCAGUGAGAGAACCUUUCACCGGAAGAGGCGACCUAGGAAGAUUGGUCCUUUAUUAAGACCCAAUUGCCAGAGUUCUUGCAACAAUCUCAACAUCAUCCUUGAGGGAAAGAAUGAACUGAAGGAGGGUGGCAUGUAAUGUGCUGAGAGUAAACUAGUAAAAGAAGAGUUUAAAAGUUGUUAGCGACGUGGACAGAUCAGAUUAAUUUCAACCAAAGGCUGAUAUCAAGCCCAUUAGAAUGUAUGACACUAUCUCAGUGCAGGAGGGGUUUCAACGAAUUUGGUACGUCUCCUCUCUCUAUUUCGUGCUCUUUCUCUCUCUAUACUUCCUAUCUCCUCUAAAUUUGAACCUUUCUUCUCUCCUAAAUUCUUCUUUUCUCUAUAAAAUUCUGAAGCAAUCCAGUUUAAUAUAACAAUAGCCAUUUCUUAUCACCUAUGCUAACAGCUGCCUAUUGAACUCCAUUUCAGGUAUUUCUCUGGCUGUUCAAUUGAUUUCUCGGAGUUGAAUCAAGUCGAGUGGUGUUGAUUAAUCCUAGUUUCUGUUUCAGAUUUUUGUUGUAAUCGAACUUGUAAUUGUCUGGGCACUUAUGGCAUUCCUGAAGCUUAUGAAUGAUAAUUGUGACUCUGCGUUGCGGAGAUUUGGUUGAAAUUCCUAUUUUGUCUAUUUGUAAUUGUUGAGCACAUAACAAUGCAUAUAUAAAAUCCAGCAAGAAAGAAAUCCAAAAAACAGAAAAAAUAAAAAACUAACAAAUACACCAAAGUCCCAUUACCAACCUCAAAUGGUUCACCAAACAAAGGAAAAACUGAAAAAAAGGUCAUAGACAUACAUACAUCACAUGCCACAAAGAAGCUGGAAUCAAAAUGGAGAAAUUUGAAUUAAAAACCAGAAGCGAAAACGUUAAAUAUUAAGAGAAAAAAUUGAAAGGGGAUUCCUAUCAAUUGGAAGAGAGCAACAACUCAUAAGGAUUAGCGAAAAGUCAAAUUACCCUAGACUGGCCAAGAAGCAACAGAGCACACAGAGAGACGAAGGAAAGGGAAAGUAAGAAAGAAUGAACUGCAACGGUUUGUUCGUGCUUUGGGUUAAGCUCAAAUUACACAUGGAAACUGAUGCGGUGGUGGUCCAAUUUUGGGAUUAAAGCACAAGUUUCAUUAAAUGUUGUUAAAUGUCCAAAUUGCCCUUGAACAAAAUUAAAAAGACAGCUAAGCAGGCAUGUCGAAACUCAAGCUCUUCUAUAUAACUAGACACCAAGAUCUAAAACUUUCAUGUUUUAGUCAUCUCUCAAUUCCUUAUGGAUUUUGAGAUAUAAACUGUCAAAGUUAGCCCUGUGCAACAGAAAUAUCUUCUUCAUCUUCUCGGAUAGCCUGUAGUAUACCAGCCAUAACUCUUUGUACACAAAUCCAAAUGCAAAAUGGUUUAACUUUUUGAAAACUAGACACAAAGAGCUACAACUUUUGUUUUUGGAUCAUCUCCAAAUUCCUUAUAGAUUGUGAGAUAUGAGCCUCCAAAAUCAGAUCUGCAUAAUAGAAAUUUUCUUCUUCGCGAACGCGAGAGUCACUUCAUGAACGCGAAGAACAAAAUCCCAGAAGCCAAAUCCUUCUUCGCGAACGUGAGAGAAUCCUCGUGAACGCGAAGAACAACACCAAACACCAGCAUCAGCUAUUGCAAAACAACUCAAAAUAAUCUGAAACCACCCCGAAUCACACCCGAGGCCCUUGAAGCCCCGUCCAAUCACACAAAUCAGUCCCAUAACAUAAUACGGACCUGCUCGAGGCCUCAAAGCACAUCAAACAACAUCAAAAUCAUGAAUCGUACCCCAAUUCAAGCUUAAUGAACUUUAAAACUUCAAACUUCUACCUUCGAUGUCGAAAUCUAUCAAAUCACGUCCGAUUGACUUCAAAUCUUGCACACAAGUCACAUUCGACGUUACAGACCUACUCUAACUUCCGAAAUCGGAAUCCGAUCCCGAUAUCAAAAAGUCCACUUCCGGUCAAACUUCUCAAGACCUUCAAAUUCUAACUUCCGCCAAAUGACUCCAAAAUGACCUAUAGACCUCCAAAUCCACUUCCAGACGCGCUCCCAAUACCAGAAUCACCAUACAGAGCUAUUCCCAAACUCGGAAUCCCAAACGGACAUCGAUAACAUUGAAAUGCACUUCAACCUAAAUUUAUGAAAUUCUUUCAAAAUUCCAAUCUUCCACCAUAUGUGCCAAAACGCUCCCGGACUAACCAAAACCUGAUCCAGACAUACGCCCAACUCCAAAAACAUACGAAUAUACUGGAACCUUCAAAUCCUGAUUCCGGGGCCGUUUACUCCAAAUCAACCCUUAGUCAGAUUCUUCCAACUUAAAGCUUCCGCAACGAGAAUUCUCUUUCCAAAUCCUUUCUGAAUUUCCUGAAUUAAAACUCCGACCACGCGUGCAAGUCAUAAUACCUGAAGUGAGGUUACUCGUGGCCUCAACCCGCCGAACGACGCGCUAAAACUCAAAAUGAUCGAUCGAGUCGUUACAAGUUAAAUAGUAGUAGUUUCAUUUUUGAAAGCUCUCUAAACACAAAGCCUUGCCAACAUUAACAAUUGCUACUUUACCUUUUAUUAUCAAACUAGUGGGGGAUAGCCUGUGCUGUGCACGGGCCCAAUAACAGUAUACUCAGGGAUGGAGCUAGAGUGCCGAAAUGAGUUCAUUUGAAUCUUAUAACUUUGAUUUAAAUAUUAUAUUUGUCUUAUAAAAUUCAUUCAAUAUAUAUAAAUUAUUAAUUUAGAAUACACUUGUAUUCAUUUAUGGAAAAGCUCUUUUGUUAGAGUCCACCUCCAAAGAAUCCUAGAGUUAAUCUUAAAUCAAUUGAAAUUAAGAAAAAAUUAUCAUAAUGUCGAGUUCGAACUAUUACGUGAAAAUUAAAUUUUAAAGGAGUUUGCUUCGUUAUUGAGUUCCACUAAUUAGCAUGAGUAAAUUUCCUACUUAACUUAUAUGUAGCUAUUUAAAUCAGUUGUGCAUAAGUUCUCUCUUGUUAAAAAAAAGUCUCAUUUAAGGUUUCGAACAUAUAAUUAAGAAAAUUAUUUAAUAGCAUUAAUAUAAAAAUAUUUAAUUAAGUGAUCCUAUAAUCUUCAUUUUAAGAUUUAUAAAUUUUACUUUUGAGAAAAUCAAUGGAUAUGUCCAAUGCGUUAUUGAAUUUAUCAAUUCAUCCUUAAACGAUUAGAGAUUUAGAGACCGAGAGAAAUGAGUAACGGGAGAAGUAUCUUUAGUCUUUUCAAUGUUCAAAACACACAAAAAAUUCCAUAAUAGCUACUAUUGAUUUCCUUAUUCUUGUAAAUAUUUUGAUAAUACAAUAUCUAGCGUUGAAAAAUAGUAAAUACUAAAUAAUAUGUGAAGUCUUUUAAGCUAAAUGUAAAUAUGCUAGUUUGAUAAUGCACUUUCAUUUCUGCUAUAAUUUUGUUUAGAAAUUAGUGAAAAACUGCGGUAGUAACUUUUAACCCUUUUUUUUUUUGAGUAUUUUUAUACUUAUGUUUGUCACACCUCCUUUUUUCCGAGGCGAUAGGGAAUUUUUCCAAUUAAAGUGACCUUAAUCGAAUGUGAUUAUUUAUUUAUUUUUAGAGUUGCCACUUGAAAUAAUUUAUGGUGUCCCAAGUCACUUGUUUAUUUUAAAUCCCAAAUCGAAGAAAUUUGACUCUUAUUUAUGGUCUGCGAACACAGAAGACCGGGUAAGAAAUUCUGUUAACCCGAGAGAAGGUGUUAGGCAUUCCCGGGUUUCGUGGUUUUAGCACGAUCGCUCAACUAUUAUUAAUUGGCCUAAUUAUCUGAUUUAAUACAUGGUUUAAACCUAUUGUGUAUUUUUAUCUUUUAACCGCUUUUAAUUAUUUAUGAAAUUAUUUUUGGAACAAGCCGCGAUGUCGUACACUUAUCGUUUUGGUACACAUUACAAACCGCGCCACAUGAAAUGCACCCGCGAUUUAUGACAUAUUUAUUUUAUUAUUAUUGUUCGAAGUUAUGGUCGGGUCACAUGAAAUGCACACUCAAAUUGGGACUUACGUAUUGUGAUUAUGCCAUGAGAACCGUACCCGAUAAUUUAUUAUUGAUCGCACCUAAAGCAAGCUACGAUGUUUAUGAAUAUUAACGGCUCAUACUCCUAACGAGCAAAACAAUUGCAUAAUGCAAUAAAGGUUACAGUUUCAAUAUUCAUUUCAAUUUAGCCCAACGAGCCUACGGCCCAUUUCUUUCAUUAUCCAACAUAAACCAAUCAUUUUAGUUAUUUAGCUAAUAGAUGAUGACCCACGUAUCUUCCUUAAUUAAUUUGCUCAAAACAAAGCUGAAUCCAUGUAGAUUUAAACAGUGAUAAAAAAAAUAUAUAUAAAAAAUUACUAAGACCAAUGAUUGAUCACAAAGCAAGGAGCCAUAUUGCCAAAACAACACAUAAAGUUAAAUAGGAACAAAAUGAACGGAGGAGUGAAUAAUUGAACCUUAGAAUAUCAUAAUCGGAUUUUCGUCGAAGCUUUUAGAAGCGUACAUGGGUUUCCAGCCAGAAACAAAUCGGAGUUGGCGAACUCGAAGCGGAACCGCGAACGGAACUCGAACCGGAAACAAACGACAGUACCUCGACGUGCGACUGAAACGGAGACUCGGACAAACAACUUCGACGACCUCGAAGCUCACCGGAAAACUCGAACUAAACCAGAAAAGGGUGAGGAGUCUCAGUGUGAUUGAAAUCAGACGACAACUGAAACGAAAAAGAAGAAAUCAAGAGAGGAAAAAUGGAAAUCAGAAAUUCCACUCUUCCCUUUUGUUCUCUUGAUUUUGGUCGUUCCCCCUCUGUUUGUCCGUUCUCCUCUCUCUGCCAGGGGCGGACCUAGGUUGGUAGUUGACGGGUUACGUGACCCCGUUAGCCUCGGCAAAAAUUUUGUAAAUACAUAUUAUAUAUGUGUAAGUUAUAUACGGGACCCCUUAAAUAUUUUAAUGGUGCCCCCAGACACAAGUUGAUGGAUGAAAGAAGUGGUUGCUUUGGGCACUUAAAUUCUCUCCUAUGCUACAGUGAUGCGGGUUCGAAACUACCCAAAGCUUUCCUCAGUCUGUCUUCUUUUUUUUAUUUUAGUUCUUUGAAUACAAUGUAAUUUUUAUUUAAUAGCAAAAUUACUUUAUUUUUACUUUAAUCUUCUUCUUUUCUUAAUAUUCAAUUAUAGUUUAGUACUAAUACAAAAU